CAGCAGGGUCCUGACCAUAGCACAUUCCCAGACUGAGUCCCCAGUGCUCUCCCUGCUCCCAGACCUGGUCUCAUGGGUGUCUGCAGCCUCCAGAGCUGCCCUGACUCGCUUGCAAAAGGCCCUUCUGCCUCCUGUGCUGGAGGCAAUAAUGCCUCUAGUGGGUACCAGUGGGACUGGUCACGUUUCCUGUGUCAUGUGCUGUCCAUGACGGAUGGCAGAGCCAGUUUUUCUGCUCCAAAAGUGGGACUGGGGAGGAGACCGCAACACUCAAAUACCCAGAGCCCUGCUUGCUGCCAGCCAGCCAUCGAGGAGAUCACUUCUUUUACAGCUCCAGGUCCUCUCUGUUCCGUAGGUGUGACUGUCUCGUGCCCCAGAGCUCUUUGGCUUUGGUAAAAUGUCAACAAUCCUGAAAUGGUUUGGGCGGGAAGAUAAGGAGAAAGAGGAGAAGGACAAG